rnacentral:rRNA from 1 species
UACGGAGGGUGCAAGCGUUAAUCGGAAUUACUGGGCGUAAAGGGUUCGUAGGUGGUUAGAUAAGUCAGAUGUGAAAGCCCUGGGCUCAACCUGGGAACUGCAUUUGAUACUGUUUAACUAGAGUUUACUAGAGGAUUGGGGAAUUUCCGGUGUAGCGGUGAAAUGCGUAGAGAUCGGAAGGAACAUCAAUGGCGAAGGCAACAAUCUGGGGUUAAACUGACACUGAGGGACGAAAGCGUGGGUAGCAAACAGG